UACGUAGGGGGCAAGCGUUAUCCGGAUUUACUGGGUGUAAAGGGAGCGUAGACGGCGAUGCAAGUCUGAAGUGAAAGGCGGGGGCCCAACCCCCGGACUGCUUUGGAAACUGUAUAGCUGGAGUGCAGGAGAGGUAAGUGGAAUUCCUAGUGUAGCGGUGAAAUGCGUAGAUAUUAGGAGGAACACCAGUGGCGAAGGCGGCUUACUGGACUGUAACUGUCGUUGAGGCUCGAAAGCGUGGGGAGCAAACAGG
rnacentral:rRNA from 1 species